rnacentral:rRNA from 1 species
GCUCAGGACGAACGCUGGCGGCGUGCCUAAUACAUGCAAGUCGAGCGGACAGAAGGGAGCUUGCUCCCGGAUGUUAGCGGCGGACGGGUGAGUAACACGUGGGUAACCUGCCUGUAAGACUGGGAUAACUCCGGGAAACCGGAGCUAAUACCGGAUAGUUCCUUGAACCGCAUGGUUCAAGGAUGAAAGACGGUUUCGGCUGUCACUUACAGAUGGACCCGCGGCGCAUUAGCUAGUUGGUGAGGUAACGGCUCACCAAGGCGACGAUGCGUAGCCGACCUGAGAGGGUGAUCGGCCACACUGGGACUGAGACACGGCCCAGACUCCUACGGGAGGCAGCAGUAGGGAAUCUUCCGCAAUGGACGAAAGUCUGACGGAGCAACGCCGCGUGAGUGAUGAAGGUUUUCGGAUCGUAAAGCUCUGUUGUUAGGGAAGAACAAGUGCAAGAGUAACUGCUUGCACCUUGACGGUACCUAACCAGAAAGCCACGGCUAACUACGUGCCAGCAGCCGCGGUAAUACGUAGGUGGCAAGCGUUGUCCGGAAUUAUUGGGCGUAAAGGGCUCGCAGGCGGUUUCUUAAGUCUGAUGUGAAAGCCCCCGGCUCAACCGGGGAGGGUCAUUGGAAACUGGGAAACUUGAGUGCAGAAGAGGAGAGUGGAAUUCCACGUGUAGCGGUGAAAUGCGUAGAGAUGUGGAGGAACACCAGUGGCGAAGGCGACUCUCUGGUCUGUAACUGACGCUGAGGAGCGAAAGCGUGGGGAGCGAACAGGAUUAGAUACCCUGGUAGUCCACGCCGUAAACGAUGAGUGCUAAGUGUUAGGGGGUUUCCGCCCCUUAGUGCUGCAGCUAACGCAUUAAGCACUCCGCCUGGGGAGUACGGUCGCAAGACUGAAACUCAAAGGAAUUGACGGGGGCCCGCACAAGCGGUGGAGCAUGUGGUUUAAUUCGAAGCAACGCGAAGAACCUUACCAGGUCUUGACAUCCUCUGACAACCCUAGAGAUAGGGCUUUCCCUUCGGGGACAGAGUGACAGGUGGUGCAUGGUUGUCGUCAGCUCGUGUCGUGAGAUGUUGGGUUAAGUCCCGCAACGAGCGCAACCCUUGAUCUUAGUUGCCAGCAUUCAGUUGGGCACUCUAAGGUGACUGCCGGUGACAAACCGGAGGAAGGUGGGGAUGACGUCAAAUCAUCAUGCCCCUUAUGACCUGGGCUACACACGUGCUACAAUGGACAGAACAAAGGGCUGCGAGACCGCAAGGUUUAGCCAAUCCCACAAAUCUGUUCUCAGUUCGGAUCGCAGUCUGCAACUCGACUGCGUGAAGCUGGAAUCGCUAGUAAUCGCGGAUCAGCAUGCCGCGGGUGAAUACGUUCCCGGGCCUUGUACACACCGCCCGUCACACCACGAGAGUUUGCAACACCCGAAGUCGGUGAGGUAACCUUUAUGGAGCCAGCCGCCGAAGUGGGGCAGAUGAUGGGG